UUUAAGCGAAACCAUGAUUUUUCGUGUUAAUUUUGAUUGUUCGUCUUAUUUGAAGUAUUUUUUAAUUAGUUUUAUUGUUAUUUUUAUGAUUCUUGUUACUAGAAGAUAGUACUUUAUACGUGACUUAUGUGUUCUAAUUUUUUUCAAAAAAUUUUCAAAUAACAUCGAUGAUUAAAGUUGGAUACGAAAACUCAUGAUUGCAUUUAAA
rnacentral:pre_miRNA from 1 species